rnacentral:tRNA from 1 species
AGGAAAGUAGCUCAGUGGUAGAGUACUUGCCUUGCAUGCAUGAGGCCUUGGGUUCCAUUCCUC